rnacentral:rRNA from 1 species
UACGUAGGGUGCAAGCGUUGUCCGGAAUUAUUGGGCGUAAAGAGCUCGUAGGCGGUUUGUCGCGUCUGCUGUGAAAACUCGGGGCUUAACUCCGGGCCUGCAGUGGGUACGGGCAGACUAGAGUGCGGUAGGGGAGACUGGAAUUCCCGGUGUAGCGGUGAAAUGCGCAGAUAUCGGGAGGAACACCGGUGGCGAAGGCGGUUCUCUGGGCCUUACCUGACGCUGAGGAGCGAAAGCGUGGGGAGCGAACAGG